UUGAAUAAAUAUGAGUUAGGUUGUUGCUGGCUCUUAGGAGUAUGUGCACACCAACUUCAUUUUUAACCCUCCCCUGUGCACCCUUGCAUAGAUCUGAACGUCUUGAGGUAACUCAGUUUGGGAAUUGUUGUGCAAAAUAAGCCAACUCUUCUUAGCUUCAGAUUUAUGUUUAUAACACACUACAAAUGAAUGUAUUUGAACGUGACUAUUGGCCUUGUUGCCUUUAAAAAUAUA
rnacentral:misc_RNA from 1 species